rnacentral:rRNA from 1 species
GUGAGGAAUAUUGGUCAAUGGGCGGAAGCCUGAACCAGCCAUGCCGCGUGAAGGACGAAGGCGUUCUGCGUUGUAAACUUCUUUUAUAAGGGAAGAAACCUGCGUUAUCUAUUGCAGCCGACGGUACCUUAUGAAUAAGCACCGGCUAACUCCGUGCCAGCAGCCGCGGUAAUACGGAGGGUGCAAGCGUUAUCCGGAUUCACUGGGUUUAAAGGGUGUGUAGGCGGGCUUGUAAGUCAGGGGUGAAAUCCUACAGCUUAACUGUAGAACUGCCUUUGAUACUAUAGGUCUUGAAUAUUGUUGAGGUGGGCGGAAUACAUCAUGUAGCGGUGAAAUGCUUAGAUAUGAUGUAGAACACCGAUUGCGAAGGCAGCUCACUAAGCAAAUAUUGACGCUGAGGCACGAAAGCGUGGGGAUCAAACAGGAUUAGAAACCCCGGUAGUCC